CCUACGGGAGGCAGCAGUGAGGGAUAUUGCGCAAUGGGCGAAAGCCUGACGCAGCGACGCCGCGUGGGCGAGGAAGGCCUUCGGGUUGUAAAGCUCUUUCGGCAGGAACGAAACGGCGGACUCUAACAUAGUCUGUCAAUGACGGUACCUGAAGAAGAAGCACCGGCUAACUACGUGCCAGCAGCCGCGGUAAUACGUAGGGUGCGAGCGUUAAUCGGAAUUACUGGGCGUAAAGCGUGCGCAGGCGGCUUUGUAAUACGGAGGUGAAAUCCCUGGGCUUAACCUAGGAACUGCGUUCGUGACUGCAAAGCUAGAGUGCGGCAGAGGGGGGUAAAAUUCCACGGGUAGCAGUGAAAUGCGUAGAGAUGUGGAGGAAUACCGAUGGCGAAGGCAGCCCCCUGGGUCGACACUGACGCUCAUGCACGAAAGCGUGGGGAGCAAACAGGAUUAGAUACCCUUGUAGU
rnacentral:rRNA from 1 species